AGAUUAAACUGAAGAGUUUGAUCCUGGCUCAGAUUGAACGCUGGCGGCAUGCCUUACACAUGCAAGUCGAACGGCAGCACGGAGCUUGCUCUGGUGGCGAGUGGCGAACGGGUGAGUAA
rnacentral:rRNA from 1 species